CUAAGAAAUAACUCAUCUUUUGGGGAUCUAAUUAAGUUAAUUAAAAUAAAUUAUAGUUAGAAUGAAAUAAAAUUAGUCAAGCAUAAGCAAAUCAAUUAAAAGAGUAAAAGAUAUUAGGAAAUUGGCCCCUUUUGGGCCAAUUUUGCCGCAAAUUCUGGGGAUUUUACUCAAUCCCGUUUUUGGUAUACAUCAGCUGUAUAUCGGUGUAUAUUGAUGUAUACAACCCUUUUUUCUGCGUUCUGGGACCUGCACGUCAACUCCAAAGACUUGUUCUUCAAUUUCUCAAGGUUGAAUGACUUGAUAAAAGAAAGAAUUUUGAGCCUUCACGGCUCUCCCGAAAUGCAAGAAAAAGAUAGGAGUUCGUAGUGAACUCGGAUAGAUUUCACAUGCAACCAAAAAUAAUAGUGAGGAGUUAGAACCUCGAAAUAACAAAAAAUAAUAAUAAUAAUAAUAACAUAUCUAAGUAUCACGUUGACUCUUAGAAUAUUAUAGCAAAAUGAGCUCGAUCAAAAUAAAUACUGAAGAUCUAAAUGAAGGGGGACAAAUUCAUGAGGAAAAAAAAAAACUAGUGGCCUCAAAUCAUGCUAAUAAGCAAAUAAUGAACAUCCAAGCUACUGUUCCGUAUAAGUACAUUAAAAAUGACUCCUAAUAGUAUAAAUAAAUUAACUAAUUAACCUACUAUGCCAUGAGCAUUACGGAUGAUUAGCAUUAUAAAAAAAUAA